GACGAACGCUGGCGGCGUGCUUAACACAUGCAAGUCGAACGGAAAGGCCCUGCUUUUGUGGGGUGCUCGAGUGGCGAACGGGUGAGUAACCCGUGAGUAACCUGCCCUUGACUUUGGGAUAACUUCAGGAAACUGGGGCUAAUACCGGAUAGGAGCUCCUGCUGCAUGGUGGGGGUUGGAAAGUUUCGGCGGGUGGGGAUGGACUCGCGGCUUAUCAGCUUGUUGGUGGGGUAGUGGCUUACCAAGGCUUUGACGGGUAGCCGGCCUGAGAGGGUGACCGGCCACAUUGGGACUGAGAUACGGCCCAGACUCCUACGGGAGGCAGCAGUGGGGAAUAUUGCACAAUGGGCGGAAGCCUGAUGCAGCAACGCCGCGUGCGGGAUGACGGCCUUCGGGUGGUAAACCGCUUUCGCCUGUGACGAAGCGUGAGUGACGGUAAUGGGUAAAGAAGCACCGGCUAACUACGUG
rnacentral:rRNA from 1 species